UUGGUUAUUUGGUUGAUUAUAAAUUUGAGACUCUGAGUUUUAGUUUUCAACUAUUCUGCGAUUAUAUGCUUGUUUUUAUGAAUUCCAUGGAGUUUCUUGCAACUAUGAGUGUCUAAACCCUUUAGCUAGGGUUGUAGCAACCCUAGCAGAAUAACAAAAUAGAGAAAGUGCAACAUUUUUCUUCAUCAAUUCUCUUGCAUGUAUCAUGACCGACUUUGGGUUAAUUGUUUUUUAGUAGUGGAAAAUG
rnacentral:lncRNA from 1 species